UUACGGCCACAUCACAUAGAAACCACUUUCCAUACGAUCAUUGAAGUUAAGCAACGUUGAAACUGGUCAGUAUUUAGAUGGGUGAUCGCUUGGGAGUAGCAGGUGAUGU